UACAGAGGUGGCAAGCGUUGUUCGGAAUUACUGGGCGUAAAGGGCGCGUAGGCGGCCUACUAAGUCAGACGUGAAAUCCCCCGGCUUAACCUGGGAACUGCGUCUGAUACUGGAAGGCUUGAGUAUGGGAGAGGGAUGUAGAAUUCCAGGUGUAGCGGUGAAAUGCGUAGAUAUCUGGAGGAAUACCGGUGGCGAAGGCGGCAUCCUGGACCAGUACUGACGCUGAGGCGCGAAAGCGAGGGGAGCAAACGGG
rnacentral:rRNA from 1 species